rnacentral:tRNA from 1 species
GGGGGCGUAGUUCAACGGUGGAGCACGUGCCUAGCAUGCAGGAGGUCCUGGGUUCAAUCCCCAGUACCUUCA